CCCUUAGAUGUUCUGGGCCGCACGCGUGCUACACUGAGUGGAUCAGCGGGUCAGGUUGCGCGAAAGUGUUUCCUAAUCUUUAAAUCCGCUCGUGAUGGGGAUUGACGGUUGCUAUUUUCCGUCAUGAACGAGGAAUACCUUGUAAGCGCGGGUCAUCAUCCCGCGCUGAAUACGUCCCUGCCCUUUGUACACACCGCCCGUCGCUCCUACCGAUUGAGUGGUCCGGUGAGGCUUUGGGAUCUGAGCGGAAAGAGCGUUUCGCUGUUUCUGCCCGGAAAACUCAGUCGAACCUUAUCAUUUAGAGGAAGGAGAAGUCGUAACA
rnacentral:rRNA from 1 species